CACAUCCAAGGAAGGCAGCAGGCACGCAAAUUACCCAAUCCCAGCUCUGGGAGGUAGUGACGAAAAAUAACAAUGCGGGACUCUUCCGAGUCUGCGUAAUUGGAAUGAGCACACUUUAAAUCCUUUAGCAACAACCAAUUGGAGGGCAAGUCUGGUGCCAGCAGCCGCGGUAAUUCCAGCUCCAAUAGCGUAUAUUAAAGUUGUUGCGGUUAAAAAGCUCGUAGUUCGAGUUCAGUUGCGGACUGGGGUGGGAGGUCACCGCCCGGUGCUUCCCCGUCAGGCUCCGAACAGCUUCCGUGAGUGGAAGCCAAGCCGGUUCUGCCGGGGUGCUCUUUACCGAGUGUCCCGCGCGGCCGGCCAGUUCACCUUGAAUAAAUGAGAGUGCUCAAAGCAGGCUACUCUGGAAUACAAUGCCCGAAUGUUAGCUGCAUGGAAUGAUGGAAGAUGAUCUCGGUUCCAUUUUGUUGGUGGUGGGAGCCAGAGGUAAUGAUAAAGAGGGACUGUCGGGGGCAUCCGUACUACGACGCGAGAGGUGAAAUUCAGUGACCGUCGUAGGACGAACAACAGCGAAAGCAUUUGCCAAGAAUGUCUUCGUUGAUCAAGAACGAAAGUUAGAGGAUCGAAGGCGAUCAGAUACCGCCCUAGUUCUAACCCUAAACGAUGCUGACUAGCAAUUCGCCGUCGUUAUUCCCAUGACGUGGCGAGACGCCCCCGGGAAACCUCAAGUCUUUGAGUUCCGGGGGUAGUAUGGUUGCAAAACUGAAACUUAAAGGAAUUGACGGAAGGGCACCACCAGGAGUGGAGCCUGCGGCUUAAUUUGACUCAACACGGGAAAGCUCACCAGGCCCGGACACCAGAAGGAUUGACAGAUUAAGAGCUCUUUCUCGAUUUGGUGGGUGGUGGUGCAUGGCCGUUCUUAGUUGGUGGAGUGAUUUGUCUGGUUAAUUC
rnacentral:rRNA from 1 species